rnacentral:lncRNA from 1 species
UCAGCUAGUGAGUUAAUUAGUGGUCUCUAAUUUCUGUUAGACCAGGUUGCCUGAAUAAUGAUGUCAAGAAUGUGUACCAAUAUCUGGAAGACAAUGAAUCUGUUAGCAGAGGAUGUGUGCUGUAUGACAGAGCUGCUCCUGGCUGUCUGCUUCAGUGAUCUCUAUUCAGGGAUGUGUCUGCUUCCUGUGGGACGUUUUCUGCCAGCUGAUGACAAGGAUGCUGUUCCAAAAUGAAAUUUGGAACCCUGUUUUAAAUUGAAUCUCACCCUCCAG